rnacentral:rRNA from 2 species
UGGCGGCGAGAGCGCGGUGGUCCCACCUGACCCCAUGCCGAACUCAGAAGUGAAACGCCGCAGCGCCGAUGGUAGUGUGGGGCUUCCCCAUGCGAGAGUAGGGAACUGCCAGGCA